AUUGAACGCUGGCGGCAGGCUUAACACAUGCAAGUCGAGCGGAGACUUCGGUCUUAGCGGCGAACGGGUGAGUAAUACCUAGGAAUCUGCCUAUUAGUGGGGGAUAACGAAUCGAAAGGUUCGCUAAUACCGCAUACGUCCUACGGGAGAAAGGGGGGAGUCUUCGGACCUCUCGCUAAUAGAUGAGCCUAGGCCGGAUUAGCUAGUUGGUAGGGUAAAGGACCUACCAAGGCGACGAUCUGUAGCUGGUCUGAGAGGAUGGCCAGCCACACUGGAACUGAGACACGGUCCAGACUCCUACGGGAGGCAGCAGUGGGGAAGU
rnacentral:rRNA from 1 species